rnacentral:rRNA from 1 species
UACGAAGGGGGCAAGCGUUGUUCGGAAUUACUGGGCGUAAAGGGCGCGCAGGCGGCCACAGAAGUCAGGCGUGAAAGCCCCGGGCUCAACCUGGGAAUAGCGUUUGAUACUCUGCGGCUAGAGUUCGGGAGAGGUGAGUGGAAUUCCCAGUGUAGAGGUGAAAUUCGUAGAUAUUGGGAAGAACACCGGUGGCGAAGGCGGCUCACUGGACCGAUACUGACGCUGAGGCGCGAAAGCGUGGGGAGCAAACAGG